rnacentral:lncRNA from 1 species
AGAAAACCCCUAAAUCAAAUAUAAUGUACUUAAUGCCAUGAUGUGCAAAUGUCAGCAUGACCUUUCAGAAAUAUGUAUCAACUGUCACAAUGUAUGUCAAUAUUGUAAUCAUCAAAUACAAGUUAGGAUUCCUUUUCUGCACCUUAUUUAGUAUUUUCAAUGGGAAUGGAGGAUGUCUGCCACGGAUCUAAGGCAAAUUAAUUUCUAUUCAUGGAAUAUGAAUAUCACAUUGGAUUUAAGUGCUGUGGCCAGUUGUUUUGUGUUUAUUACUGUUUUUAAGAAUGUAAGAAUAAUGUAUAUAAAACAUAAAUUGAAGGGCAAAUCAAACAUCAACAUUCGUUUCAUGAUUUGCUAUAUGUCAAAUAUUCAUUAUACUUAUGGUACGUUUAUAUUGAUAAAUGACACACUGCUUCUUUCAAGAUAUUGUUACCAUUCCAUUCAUAUGUUAAUAACUUGGCAUUUUCAACAAGACUCUAAUAUACUUGUCAGUGUCAGUACAUGUAUAUCAUUAGGGGUGAAAUGGUACACUCUUACUACUGUACGGUACGUAUUGUGGUACAAGGCCUUCGGUUCGGUCCAUUUUGGUUUGGUAACUUAUUUCCCGGAAAAUAGCGGCCGUCUAGCAAAGAAAUGCAUAGAUUUUGACAAAAUUAUUAAAUUUCUAGACAUUUUAGAAAAAGUUUAAAAAGGUUAAGAAAAAGACGAAAACCGAAAAUGAUGAAUUUUUUGGAUUGCGUUAUGGUUAAACGACAGGAAGACAAAAUACUGCGGUUCUACUUAUAGCGCUGUACACCGUUUCACCCCUUAUAUAACAUACUAUCAGUACUGAGUUAAUACUAGCAUGAAAUGCAUUUUUAAGUUCCUGGUUGUCAGCAUUUAUUGUAGAAUUGCAUUCACUCAUUGAUGCAUUGUAGUGUAGUGACCUGAGUUGGCCGGUAUAUAUCUUUCUGAAAUCCACUUCAUAACAAACCAUGCAUGAUGUGGAAUAGUAUCUAUGCCCUUGUGGGGAUUCCAUCUUAGAACAGGUUCAAAGUAACCUCUGCCUGUUGUAUGAGGUGAUGAAAUUGAUCAGGUGGACAGGCCCAUUGUCUUGUUUGAUUGAGUGUCAUUGUAUCUAAAAGGCAUGGGAUACUGCAGAUAAUAUACAAUGGCUUGAUUGUCUGUUCCAGUCAUGGUUAUUAACUGGCUGCUGUCACAUCACUGGAAUAUUACUGAAUGUAGUUUCAAAAUUAACACAUCCUAACAGGAAUUGCGUGGAAAGUAAGGGCUCCGGAUUCACAUGGUAUCACUAUAUACAGUAUCACCAUGUUAAGUGGUAUCAGUUCAUAGUGAAUAUAGAGCAGAACAAAGUUAUAUGACAACUGUGUAGUAUGUCAUUCAUAUGACUUCAUGUUUUGGAUAAAUUAUUUCAAGGUAUAUAGUUUAUGGUCUGGCAUCUGUUCCUGGAAGUUUUACACAGAAUAGAUUACAAAAUGGCAUUGUUUCCUUUGUAUCAAAGCAGAGUGUUGAUAAUAUUCAUAUAUAUAGUCAUGUGUCUGAAUAUAUUUGUUUAUAUAUAUGGGUGAUGAAAUGUGUUGUAUGAAGUGCAUUGAUACAUCGGGAGUUGUUGUGAUUGAGAGUGUUGGUUGUUGAAUGAAUGUUGUUGAAAUAAAUACUUGUUGAUCUCUU